AGAGGUUUGAUCCUGGCUCAGAACGAACGCUGGCGGCGUGCUUAAGACAUGCAAGUCGAACGGUAAGGCCGACUACCUUCGGGUAGUUGGUACACGAGUGGCGCACGGGUGAGUAACGCGUGGGUAAUUUGCCUUCGGGUUUGGGACAACUCCGGGAAACUGGAGCUAAUACCAAAUAAGACCACGAGGUCUUCGGACUUUGCGGAAAAAGGUGGCCUCUUCUUGAAAGCUAUCGCCUGUAGAUGAGCCCGCGUCCCAUUAGCUUGUUGGUGAGGUAACGGCUCACCAAGGCAUCGAUGGGUAGCUGGUCUGAGAGGAUGAUCAGCCACACUGGAACUGAGACACGGUCCAGACUCCUACGGGAGGCAGCAGUCGGGAAUCUUGCACAAUGGGCGAAAGCCUGAUGCAGCAACGCCGCGUGAGGGAUGAAGGCCCUCGGGUCGUAAACCUCUGUCAGAAGGGAAGAAAGUAUUUCGGGCCAAUACCCCGGAGUAUCGACGGUACCUUCAAAGGAAGCGCCGGCUAACUCCGUGCCAGCAGCCGCGGUAAUACGGAGGGCGCGAGCGUUAUUCGGAAUUAUUGGGCGUAAAGCGCGUGUAGGCGGCAGGGCAAGUCGGAUGUGAAAGCCCGGGGCUCAACCCCGGAAUUGCAUUCGAAACUGCUCAGCUAGAGUCUCGGAGAGGAGGGCGGAAUUCCCGG
rnacentral:rRNA from 1 species